GACGAACGCUGGCGGCGUGCUUAACACAUGCAAGUCGAACGGAAAGGCCCUGCUUUUGUGGGGUGCUCGAGUGGCGAACGGGUGAGUAACACGUGAGUAACCUGCCCUUGACUUUGGGAUAACUUCAGGAAACUGGGGCUAAUACCGGAUAGGAGCUCCUGCUGCAUGGUGGGGGUUGGAAAGUUUCGGCGGUUGGGGAUGGACUCGCGGCUUAUCAGCUUGUUGGUGGGGUAGUGGCUUACCAAGGCUUUGACGGGUAGCCGGCCUGAGAGGGUGACCGGCCACAUCGGGACUGAGAUACGGCCCAGACUCCUACGGGAGGCAGCAGUGGGGAAUAUUGCACAAUGGGCGGAAGCCUGAUGCAGCAACGCCGCGUACGGGAUGACGGCCUUCGGGUUGUAAACCGCUUUCGCCUGUGACGAAGCGUGAGUGACGGUAAUGGGUAAAGAAGCACCGGCUAACUACGUG
rnacentral:rRNA from 1 species